GUGGGGGAUAUUGCACAAUGGGGGAAACCCUGAUGCAGCGACGCCGCGUGAAGGAAGACGUACUUCGGUAUGUAAACUUCUAUCAGCAGGGAAGAAGAUGACGGUACCUGACUAAGAAGCCCCGGCUAACUACGUGCCAGCAGCCGCGGUAAUACGUAGGGGGCAAGCGUUAUCCGGAUUUACUGGGUGUAAAGGGAGCGUAGACGGUGAAGCAAGUCUGAUGUGAAAACCCGGGGCUCAACUCCGGGAUUGCAUUGGAAACUGUUUUACUUGAGUGCUGGAGGGGCAAGCGGAAUUCCUGGUGUAGCGGUGAAAUGCGUAGAUAUCAGGAAGAACACCGGUGGCGAAGGCGGCUUGCUGGACAGUAACUGACGUUGAGGCUCGAAAGCGUGGGGAGCAAACAGGAUUAGAAACCCGUGUAGUCC
rnacentral:rRNA from 1 species